rnacentral:rRNA from 1 species
AUUGAACGCUGGCGGCAGUCUUAACACAUGCAAGUCGAGCGGAGAUGAGGUGCUUGCACCUUAUCUUAGCGGCGGACGGGUGAGUAAUGCUUAGGAAUCUGCCUAUUAGUGGGGGACAACAUUCCGAAAGGAAUGCUAAUACCGCAUACGUCCUACGGGAGAAAGCAGGGGAUCUUCGGACCUUGCGCUAAUAGAUGAGCCUAAGUCGGAUUAGCUAGUUGGUGGGGUAAAGGCCUACCAAGGCGACGAUCUGUAGCGGGUCUGAGAGGAUGAUCCGCCAAACCGGGACUGAGACACGGCCCAGACGCCUACGGGAGGCAGCAGUGGGGAAUAUUGGACAAUGGGGGGAACCCUGAUCCAGCCAUGCCGCGUGUGUGAAGAAGGCCUUAUGGUUGUAAAGCACUUUAAGCGAGGAGGAGGCUACUGAGACUAAUACUCUUGGAUAGUGGACGUUACUCGCAGAAUAAGCACCGGCUAACUCUGUGCCAGCCGCCGCCGUAAGAC